rnacentral:sRNA from 1 species
AUAAGAGCAAUGCUUGUAUUUCACAGGUUCGAUGAAGCUCUCAGCUUGGUAGCCUCAGACGAAGCAAAGAACUUUAUUGUUGAUUCAUCUAUGCUAAGUUCUUUAGUUUGGUUGAAUGGUUCCUUGUACUUAUGGGAGAGUCUCUUACAGGCACGCGACGAAAGAGAAGAUGACAAUAUCAAGACUCCAGUUGAAGGAAUGAAUUCAAUUCCUAAACGUCUGAUAGAAUUGUUUCUAGAAUCAAG